AGGAGUAUGCAGUCCUGCCUCCAUGAUUUGCCCCAAGACAACGAUUGAACUGCCCUGCCUCACUGCUGACUUACUGCCCUUCACUGCCUCCACUCUGAGGGGCUUUUAAAGCUGUCAUUUAAUGCAGUCCGGCUGAAUGCUGCGUAUGCAAAUGGAAAGAUGCCUUCUGAGUGUCCAGACGAGAAGCAGGCCCUUCAUUAAUCAUCGAGGUGUGUGAAAUCACGCUGUGUGAAAGUGAUUUUUACUAUGAAGUAAGGCUGUGCAUUAUCAGGAAAAUA
rnacentral:lncRNA from 1 species